AAGAUUCAAACCCUUUACACCUAUGGAGACUUCAUAGAACAUGGGUCUACAAGUGUUGCUGUGUCUUUUUUACUUUGGAGACAAAGAAUGACUUGAGGGAUGAAAAACAAGAGAAAAAAUGAGGAAACGAGGAUGUAAACCAGAACCCAGAGACUGGGGAAGAGAAAAACAAAGAAAAGAUUAUCUUCACAUGGAAUGUUGAAUAUUGAAUAAUUUAUCAUUACAUCAUACUCUGAUAAGGAAAAUGAAGCUCACUAAAAUAAUGUUCACAAAUUAAGAAAGACAUAGAUAUCUCUUCUUUCCAAAUAUGGUAUAAUAGAACCAUUUUCAACUGUGUCAUGGAAUUCACUUCAAAAGCCACUUGAAUCUGGAACAUUCAGUACUAUGUCAAAUAGGAAUGAAGAGAGUGGGCACUCUUGUUCCUUAUUAUAGAGCAAAUGCUUUCAGCCUUUUACCACUGACUUUGAUGUUAGCUGUGGGCCCAUCAUGUAUGGCUUUU